CGCCCCGGGACCUCGUAGACUGCCCGCCCGCCCCCAGAGGCGUCCCCUUCGGCCGGCACGCCCCGCCGCCCCGCGCCCGGGCUGGGCCAUGCCCGGGCUGCGCCGGGGCCGCUUGCUGACCCUGCUGCUGCUGGGCGCGCUGCUCUCCGCCGACCUUUACUUCCACCUCUGGCCCCAAGUGCAGCGCCAGCUGCGGCCCCGGGAGCGCCCGCGGGGGUGCCCGUGCUCUGGCCGCGCCUCCCUCACCGCACCGGACUCGGCCGCAGCCGCCUCGGACCCCGGCACGAUCGUGCACAACUUUUUCCGAGCCGGGACCCGGACUGAGCCGGCCGGCGGCAGCCGCAGCGACUCGGGCUCCAAGCUGCAGGCCCUCUUUACCCACCCGCUGUACAACCUCCCGGAGGAGCCGCCUCUCGUGGGACCCGAGGACUCGCUCCUGGACAGCCAGGAGGCGCUGCGGUAUUACCGGAGGAAAGUGGCCCGCUGGAACAGGCGACACAAGAUGUACAGAGAGCAGAUGAACCUCACCUCCCUGGACCCCCCAGUGCAGCUCCGACUCGAGGCCAGCUGGGUCCAAUUCCACCUGGGCAUUAACCGCCAUGGGCUCUACUCCCGGUCCAAUCCUAUUGUCAGCAAACUUCUGCAAGAUAUGAGGCACUUUCCCACCAUCAGUGCUGAUUACAGUCAAGAUGAGAAAGCCUUGCUUGGGGCGUGUGACUGCACCCAGAUUGUGAAACCCAGUGGGGUCCACCUCAAGCUGGUGCUGAGGUUCUCAGAUUUUGGGAAGGCCAUGUUCAAACCCAUGAGACAGCAGCGAGAUGAAGAGACGCCCGUGGACUUCUUCUACUUCAUUGACUUUCAGAGACACAAUGCUGAGAUUGCAGCUUUCCAUCUGGACAGGAUCCUGGACUUCCGACGGGUGCCGCCAACAGUGGGGAGGCUAGUGAAUGUCACCAAGGACAUCCUAGAGGUCACGAAGAAUGAAAUCCUGCAGAGUGUUUUCUUUGUCUCUCCAGCCAGCAACGUGUGCUUCUUCGCCAAGUGUCCAUACAUGUGCAAGACGGAGUAUGCUGUCUGUGGCAACCCACACCUGCUGGAAGGCUCCCUCUCCGCCUUCCUGCCAUCCCUCAACCUGGCCCCCAGGCUGUCUGUGCCCAACCCCUGGAUCCGCUCCUACUCACUGGCAGGAAAAGAGGACCCCAGGACUUCUUCUCCCCCUCAGGUGGGAGGUCAAUCCCCUUUACUGCGACACAGUGAAACAGAUCUACCCGUACAACAACAGCCAGCGGCUCCUCAACGUCAUAGACAUGGCCAUCUUCGAUUUCUUGAUAGGAAAUAUGGACCGGCACCACUACGAGAUGUUCACCAAGUUCGGGGACGAUGGGUUCCUUAUUCACCUUGACAAUGCCAGAGGGUUCGGACGACACUCCCAUGAUGAAAUCUCCAUCCUCUCGCCUCUCUCUCAGUGCUGCAUGAUAAAAAAGAAAACACUUUUGCACCUGCAGCUGCUGGCCCAAGCCGACUACAGACUCAGUGAUGUGAUGCGCGAGUCACUGCUAGAAGACCCGCUCAGCCCUGUACUCACUGAACCCCACCUCCUUGCCCUGGAUCGAAGGCUCCAAACCAUCCUAAGGACAGUAGAGGGGUGCAUAGCGGCACAUGGAGAGCAGAGUGUCAUAGCCAAUGGCCCAGUGGAACAACUGGCUCCAGACUCUGGCCAGGUUAACUUGACAAGCUAAGGGCUAGAAGAGUCCAGUUUCAGAAAAUAUGCCUGGAGCCAGAGCAGCUGACUCAAGAGUGCAGACCCUGCUUCCUCACCUCCACCUGUUAAUGCUGGAGGUCAAGUCAGCUAAGAAGGAAGCAGGGCAUUUUCUGAAACAGCAAGUGGGGUCCACAGAACUCGAUCUUAACUCCUGGGUGCACUGCUUCUGCAGUGCAUUGCCUUGAGACAUUUUUCCCAAAAACUACUGGCUUCAAGGCCACAGAUGACCUCCUGAGUGCACUGGGUCAUCUGGAUAUGGGUCAGACUUGGCAGGUUUGGCAGCCUGGAUCCCAGGAGACUACUAACUAACUGUAACAAGUCAAAUAAAAGGACACCAAGUGGA